rnacentral:rRNA from 1 species
CAGCAGCCACGGUAAAACGUAGGGUGCGAGCGUUAAUCGGAAUUACUGGGCGUAAAGCGUGCGCAGGCGGUUCGUUAAGACAGAUGUGAAAUCCCCGGGCUUAACCUGGGAACUGCAUUUGUGACUGGCGAGCUAGAGUAUGGCAGAGGGGGGUAGAAUUCCACGUGUAGCAGUGAAAUGCGUAGAGAUGUGGAGGAAUACCGAUGGCGAAGGCAGCCCCCUGGGCCAAUACUGACGCUCAUGCACUAAAGCAUGGGGAGCGAACAGGAUUAGAUACCCCCGUAGUCCCUGUCUCUUAUAC